rnacentral:rRNA from 1 species
GACGAAGGAUGCAAGCGUUAUCCGGAUUCAUUGGGUUUAAAGGGAGCGUAGGCGGCCUGAUAAGUCAGUGGUGAAAUCUUCUCGCUCAACGAGGAAAUUGCCAUUGAUACUGUUAGGCUUGAGUACAGUUGCCGUUGGCGGAAUAUGACAUGUAGUGGUGAAAUACAUAGAGAUGUCAUAGAACACCGAUUGCGAAGGCAGCUAACGAAACUGUAACUGACGCUGAGGCUCGAAAGUGCGGGGAGCGAACAGG